GUCUAUUUGAAGAUAUAAAAAGUCUAGCCUGCUCACUGAUAUUAUUUUAAGAGCCGCGGUAUUUCUGACUGUGCAAAGGUAGCAUAAUCGUUAGUUUUUUAAUUGAAAUCUUGUAUGAAGGGUUUGACAAAAAAAAGACUGUCUUUAUAAUUAAUAAUCGAAUUUAACUUUUAAGUGAAAAGGCUUAAAUGAAUUAAAAAGACGAUAAGACCCUAUAAAGCUUAAUAUUAAUUUAUUAUUUAACAAAAUUUGCGUAAUAUAAAUGUUUGGUAAUAUUUUUUAUUUUAUUGGGGUGAUAAUGGUAAAAUGAUAAAUAACUGUUAAUUUUUUUUUAACAAAGAUAAAUGAAUAAAAUAUUUACUUUAUAAAUGAUCCUAUAUAAAGAUUUAAAGUUUAAGUUACUUUAGGGAUAACAGCGUAAUUUUUUUUGAGAGUUCAUAUCGAGAAAAAAGUUUGCGACCUCGAUGUUGAAUUAAAAUAUCUAUAUAAUUGUAGCAGUUAUAUAAGAGGGUCUGUUCGACCUUUAAAUUUUUACAUGAUUUGAGUUCAAACCGGUGUAAG
rnacentral:rRNA from 1 species